GGUUAAUUUCAAUCGUGAAACGCUCGCUGCUGAAAUCUGCUGAGCGAUUAUGCCACAACCGAUAAAAGCCGAACAGUGAUGAUAAUAGAUUCGGCUCUUUUUUUUUUUUUCUUCUCACUCUUCUUUUUAAAUGAUUACAGAAAAUAUGGACAAUCAGAAAGCAAUUCUGUGGUGGCAAAUUUAGCCCUCUGGCUCCGAGUCAGCAUGUCAUGGCUGAACAAGUCAACAGAAAAGACACAGAGACAGAGGAAAAUAAGGCUACUUUUAUGCGCUCAGCCCUUGGCUUCCUUUUCCGUCUGCCCACCUUUUUGAUGACUGUCAGCAAGCUCCACUGCUCAUCUUUCGGUGGAUAUUUUCCUGCUCCAGAAAAGCUGCUCGGUGUGGCACAUGGCCGCUCGCACUAAUCCAGGUUCUGCUGGAGGUUUCUUCCUGUUCAGGGGGAGUUUUUCCUCUCCACUGUCGCUACGUGCAUGUUGAGUAUGAAGGAUUGCUGUAAAGUCACACACAGUGCAAUCUGUUGUAUCUCACUAGAUACUCAUGCAGAAAGAGUGACCAAUUUGAAUAGUGAACUGGGAAAAAAAAAUAAAAAUGAUGACCUGAACUUAAUCAACUCUUUGAUAACUAGGUUCAGUUGUAGUGUAUGUACUAUAGACUGAAAUUACUUAUUUUGUAAAGUAGCUUGAGAUUAUGUGUAAAUUAAUGCUAUGUAAACUGAAUUGAAUGUGUUAAAAAAUAGUAAAGAUCCAAAAUGUAAUUCUUAAAAAAUAUAACACUACAUAAAUCUAAUUUUAAAAAAGAAAGAAUUUAGAAUACAGAGAUGUCAUCAAACUGAGAAGUUUCCCUACACUCUACAGAUAUGAACCAAUUCUUCAGUUAUUACUCUGUUUGUAUUUGGGCUACUGAACUACAGUCCAGCCCUUCCUCUCCCCCCGCCCCCCAAGUAAAAACCCUUCUGACAUCGUUUCAUGGUGUAUAUUCCCCAAACUCUUGGAAAUGUCUUUCACAAUCCUAUCAAUCCCAGACUGCAGUUAUCUACCCCUGUUGCUUGUGCAUCCUUUUUGUAAACUUGACUUUAUCCUUCCACUAAACCUUCCUCUAAUACGUUUAUCUUGCAUCACUCCAAAAUUUACUAAAUCUCAAGUUGGCAGUAUUUCCCGUGGUUUUGCAGCUAACAAAAUGACAACAAAGUCACUAUGCUAUGA